GGGAUUGAACCGGGGACCUUAGAACUGUGAGGCCAACGGUUUCCAGCUGAUCAACUGUGCCGGCCAAGAAUGACAAUGUUCUCCAAAAAAAGUCUCUCGAACUCUGUGAAGUACCAGCCUGCUUCAAAUACUGCACCAUUAUACCAGUCCCCAAAAAUGCAGCAGUCUCGGGUUUUAAGGCCUGUUGCCUUGACAUCUGUGGUCAUGAAGUCCUUUGAAUGCCUUGUGCUGGACCACCUCGAGAGCGUCACAGGUCUGUGGAUGAUGCGGUCAACAUGUGUCUGCACUUCAUCCUUGAACAUCUCAACAGCCAGGGUACCUAUGCGAGGAUCGUGUUCAUGGACUUCAGCUCCUCUCCUUCAAACUUCUCCAGCUCGGCGUCUCACCUGCCAUUUCCCGGUGGAUCUACAACUUCCUGAUGGACAGACACAACAGGUGAGGCUGGGGGACACCACCUCAUCCACACGCACCAUCAGCACCGGAGCACCCCAAGGUUGUGUCUUCUCAUCUCUGCUAUUCUCGCUCUACACUAACACACAACUGCACCUCGUGGCAUCCUACUGUCAAACUCCUUUUUACACGGCUAAAGCCUUCAUCGACUCCAGGUCUGACGCCAAUCUCCUGAACCCACGAGUGAUUGACUUAUUGAGCUUAGAGACAUUUAGAACGCAGUGCCUUCAACACGGUUCUGCUGCCAAUGGCAAGUUUUUGUGCAGGAUUACUUACCGCACUUAGACCUUAGACAUAAUCGCACUCAGACCUUAGACAUGACGUUCCCAGACGCACACACUGAAUGCUUAAGUUUUCACGUUUUUGAUUCAUGAAGCAAUGAGAUCAUCUUGGGGAUUCCCUGGCUCAGACAACAUAACCCUGUCAUUGACUGGUCAUCCAGACAAAUCAAGUCGUGGGGUCCAAAAUGCGGAGACAUGUGCUUCGCAUCCCCUGAUAAAGAGGGUUCGCAGGUCACUUCAGAACACCUGCGGGACUCGCCGCAGGACCCGCAUUUAACCUCGGUCCCUGACUGCUACUCUGAUCUAAAGGAGGUAUUCUCUGAAGCAAAGGCCAAGUCCCUUCUGCCUCACCAACUGUAUGACUGUGCUAUUAAUUUACUUCCCGGUACCUCACCCCCCGGGGAAGACUUUUCUCUCUCACAGGCCCCGAACAUCAAGCCAUGAGGGAUUACGUGAAUGAGUCGCUGGCGGCAGGUCUCAUCCGACCCUCGUCAUCAACCACCGGAGUGGGCUUCUUCUUCGUAAAGAACAAGUCCCUGCGUCCCUGCAUUGACUACCGGGGGCUGAAUAACAUCAUAAAAAACAGACGAACAUUCCCACAUCAGGCACAUUGUCCUGUUUGGGGUCGCCGCACCGUGUCAUCUUUAUCAAUCUAAGUCUAUCUCCUGCAUCUUAUUCUCUCACCCCAAGUGCCCUCAUGUCUUCCUUCACAACAUCCAUCAACCUUCUCUUUGGUCUUCCUAUCGCUCUUUUGCUUGGCAGCUCGAUCCUCAGUACCCUUCUACCAAUAUACUCACUCUCUCACCUCUUGACAUGUCCAAACCAUCGAAGUUCUCUCGAACUUCCCUCUAAUGAACUGUCCCUCUAAUGAGCACAUUUUGAACCCUAUCCAACCUGCUCACUCCUAGCGAGAACCUCAACAUCUUCAUUUCUGCCACCUCCAGUUCUGCUUCCUGUUGUCACUUCAGUACCACGGUCUCUCAUCCAUACAUCAUGGCUGGCCUCACCACUGUUUUAUAAACUUUGCCUUUCAUCCUAGCAGAAACUCUUCUGUCACAUAACACACCAGAAACCUUCUGCCAGGUGUUCCAACCUGCUUGGGAUGUUUUCUUGCAAGAAAUAUAAUUGAAAAGUGGAACUACACAUGAAAAAAAAAGAGUUUGUAGUCUGGAUUUGAAAACUCACAGUUGUGGUUGACAUCACCUCUGUUGGUAAUUUAUUCCAUUUUUUUGCAACAUAAUAGCUAAAUGCUGCUUCAACAUGUUUGCUUUGGACUCAGCACUCCACUAUUUGACCCAACUGUCAAGGGUUUGUAUUCCAUUACAUUAACAUUUAUUUCAUGUAUUCACGACCUAAACGAUUUUUGGGGGUUUAUAGACCAGUAGCAGAACCUUAAAAGGUAUUCUAAAGCUGUCUGAAAGCCAGUGUAAAGACUUUAGAUUUGGAAUUAUAUGCUCUGAUCUCUUUGUUCUGGUCAGAACCCUAGCUGGAACCUUCUGAACGAGCUACAGCUGAGGUCAGGUCGGAAUCUAUCAGAACACUAAGGUUUUGGACUUGGUCUUUACUAUUUAAAGAUUGUCAGUGCAGGUGUUUAUAAGCAGCAAUAAUUUUUUUCUUUAUUGCCCCAAAGUUUUUUUUUGUGGUUCAGUUGAAGGAAAAAAUGUUUCAACCAGUUAUUUAUCUGCUUUAGACAGUGUCACAACAUCUCAAUUGAACUAUAGUGUUUUUGAGACACUGCUACAUAUAACUGUGUGUCACCACCAGUCAAAACUAAAGUUCUGAAAAUUCUCAUCCAAGGGUAGGCUGAACAGGAGGGGGCCAAGAACUGACCCUUGAGGGACCCCAUAUGUCAUUGCCAUUUGUUGAGAUUGAGCACUCCCAAUGGUUACAAAGUAGGUAGGUAGGACCUGAACUAUUUGAGGACUGUUCCAUUCAGUCCUACCCACAUUUCCAACCUGUUUAGCAGUAUAUUGUGAUCUACCGUAUCAAAAGCCACGCAGAUCCAACAGGACCAAAAUUGACACUUUUUCUGAGUCAUUCUGAAUCACAGGAUAUAGACAGAUAACCAUUCACACUAACAUUCCCACAUUUGCUCAAUGCAAACUGAAGCACAUGGAAGGCAAGGAAAUUAACUAUGACAACACAAAAUGACAGAAUCAGUUGUGAUUAAUGAAACAUGAAAUGAAAUGAAUCAAUUAUCAAUAUUGAUUAUCCUUUUAGUCUUUGUUUCAGGCUUCCAUCAUUAAACGAUCCACAACAUAGCAAGAUUUUUUUAAGGAAGUCCACCCAUCCAUUUAUUUUCUUUACCAGUUCCUCAGUAAUGGAUGGCGGUAUCUGGAACCAAUCCCAGCUGACUGACAGUUGAAAGGCAGGCUACGCUCUGGACUGGUCGUCAGGCAAAUACAGAGUACAGAUAGACAAUAGUUCACACUCACAUUCACAUUGUAGCUGAAUCAACGCAGAAAUCAAGCAAGUGACCCAUGACCCUGCAAAUGGCAGAGUCAAUACUGAAGAAAGAUGGGAGACAUCGAUAUUGAUAUACAGUAUGUCAUUGGUUUGGCCAUGCCUCUUGAGCUGUGAAAAAACAUGUGCUAGGUUAAAACAUCUACCAAUUUAAGACGUGCUUGUAGAUGAAGUUGAUAUACCUCUCAGAAUAAGAAUGUCUUUUAUGCCGCUGUAAAUCCUCCUUUUCUUCUAUGAGCUUCAAAUGUCUCUCUUUCUCAAUGAAGAUUUUUGCCAGUGAAGAAAGUCCUCCUUGUUCAGUCCUAAUCUUUCCACAAACACUGGUGUAGAUGGUACAGUGAGUGCAAUAAGGAUAGGCUUGGUUAUCUUUGGUACAAUCUGGAUUAAAUACUUGUUGCCCAAAAAGCCAGGAAGCUGUCCAGGAGUGUUGCACCCAAUCCCCACUAUUUACGAUCUUUACAGUCUGAUGAGAUCAGCAUUUACUCUUACAAAAUUAAAGCACUCAUAGAUGUCUGUGGAGAGCAAAAACAGCAUACAGCCACACUGAAAGAGUGGUGGCAGAAUAGCAUCUGCUGAUCGGAAUAUUUUGCCUGAAAAAACAAUUUUUGGGGCUUCCGCGGGGUGGCCGUGGACGAUGGAUGGCAGGUUUCCAUCUGGGAUGACUGUGGCUGCCACUGAAAACUGCUUAUAGCUCUGGCCCUAUUUGUGUGUGUGUGUGUGUGUUUGUGUGUUUAAAGUCAGAAAUGUGUGCCAACUGUUUAUUUGAUUUAAAAUAAGAUAUUGACGUAUCUUUUACACAACUCUCUGCAACAAUCAAUACUAAUAAUAUUCAAUAAUAAUGAUUCUUUGAUCAAAUAAUUGUUGAAAAUAUUCAAGAAUCAUUUCUGUUUGUGUUAUGUAACAUUUGAGUAGUGAAGAGCAGUGUCAACAUUUGAACAAAAAAUGCAAUAUUAUGCAUAUCUACCAAGUUCCUAUGGCUCAAAAUGAUUUGGUAGGGUUGUGUUCCCCAGCUUGUGUCCAUCACUCCUGUUGUGUGUCAACUCUUGCGGUUCUCCUUCGCACACACCCUCCCUCUCCCAUCAGUCCCCCCUCCCCUCUCCACCCCCCCUACUCUCUCUCUCUCUCUCUCUCUCUCUCUCUCUCUCUCUCUCGCUCUCUCUCGCACGCACGCGCCCUCACAUUCUGUUCUCUUUCCUCUUCUUUUGGGGAGAGCUGCUAUCGCUUGCGGGUUGCCGCAUGGUCGCUAAAGUCUCAACAUCAUCUGCUCUCUGGGCUCCUCAAGACUGCUGCAUGGGCACACAAGGAUGUAACGACACUCACUUGACUGCACCGCGACGGGUCACUGGAGAUCCUGCCUUCAUUCCAGCAGAGAGGGAUUUCUUACUCAAAUGUAACUGAGACCAAGAGAGGCGAUAAGUGUGCAUCCUCUGCAAGGGAGAGAACCACUUUGACUUAAGUACGAGCCCAAAUUUUCACAACACCUCCACCCAGGAGAAGCAACUCCACUGAAAGUCCAUUGCUACGAAUUAAUGAUGGUGGUCCAGAAGAUGUUGCAGCAGAGUUUUCGAUUCUAAAGAGCACCCCAACUUUUCUCCAAUUCAGUUUAUAGGACUAUAUAGAGUUUCCUCAAUUCGGUCAUCAUACGGGACUUCUAUGCUGGUUCCAGAGUGGCACUAGCCGUCACCGUCCCUCAUGGAACGCUCAGCAUCUUUGGAUAUAGAAGCGCUCAAGGUAAGACGCUCAGCCGGGUGCAUAUGCGCUCACCCCGCGGACAGAGUUAGGAUUCAUCGCGCUUGGGUGUUGGGUGAAUGAAAUGGAUUUAUGGGUGACGAUUGAUUAUAAUGAUGGUGAUGAUUUUAUAUAUGUAUAUAUGUGUGUGUGUGUGUGUAUCUAUUAGUGGGGAAUCAGGUCACUAUUACAUUCAUGUUACACUUCUUGAUUGUUUUAGUGCAAUAUUAAAAUAAAAAAGAUGGAAAAGAAGAAAAAAGGUCUGUGCUGGUGUUGCUCUUCAAACACCGCUCAUCACAUUCUGGAUAGGGCACGAAACGGAUUGCAGUCGUGGUACGUCAAUUCAGUGCGUGGGGAGAAUUUCAAUAAUGCUUGGCUUGCACAGAGCUGAUGUGUGCGUCGGUGGGAUGCCUGAAUAAGGGGACGGAGUGCUGCGAUGGGGCGCUUUCUCUGAGGGUAUGUGCAAGAAUACUUAAGAGAAAGUGGAGAUGGGAAAAAUCCACUCCAUCGUUUUUUUUUCUCUCUCUUUUCCCACUCUUGCGUUGCGAUACGAGCAGUUCAUGAUCAUUUUCAAGUGUAGUGCAAAACACCCACUUGAAAGAUUUUACUUGCUGGUGGAGUGGGUGUGAUGUUGGUACUUCAGACCAGAAAUAUGUACAUUAGCUAUAUUUAGACAAAUAUAUAAACAUUCCAGUGAACCCAUUGAGUUAACAAUAGGAACACCUGCGCAAUCUAAUGAGAUCUAAUUCAAAAAUUCAUACCGUUACAACAAUAAUUAUCAGUUUAUUGUUGUCAUGUUGAGCUGCACUCCAAUGUACCCAAUAUUUUGUCCGAGUCUUUUAAGUCUGAUCCAGUGCAGUUUCACACCACUGCAAAUUAUGAUAAUAAACAUGUUGGCAAAUUAAUCCCCCCUCCUCCUCCAUCCAUACAAACACAUUUACAGCUACCAAAUACUUCACAGUGCUGACUAAAAGCUGUCCAUGAAGUCAAAUGUAAUUUUUUGUUUUAGAUUAAACCUUAUAGAAGUGCUGCUCACUUGACAGUAAUGAGCAACAUCAGCCUCGUUUGCUUAAACUACCCACCUGAACUAAUUGUGCGAUGGAAAAACAAACCACAUAAGAACCUUUUGCUACCAGGAACAAAGUUCCUGGGCUGGUUGGUGGAAAAGCCCUAAUAUGCACCCAGCAAUCGGCUGGUGAGUUCAUCCCAUCUUGUUUAAAAAUCAGAUGGGAUUGGCUUCAGCUCAGCUCUCCCAUGACUUUAAUGAGGACGUGCCCUCAUGAAAAAAAAAAAAAAUAUGAAUUGAUGUUUGUAAAAAGACAAUUUCUUUUUUUACACAGCUUUUGUAUUGGCUGUCAUUGUCGUGUCACUGUUGAUCUAUUUUUGAAAUGACAAUACAGGACUGUGUUGUACAAUAAUCAAUAUAGAAAUUUAGUGGAUAGUAUAUAUAGUGUAAAUACUAUACAGAAUAUAUUUGUGAGUGAGCGGGGGUGAAUUAUGUAUUUCACUAAUUUCAAUGAAAUUAACUUUGAAUAGAGAUAAAAACUAAAGGCGGUACGGUGAAUCAGCUGGAAAGUGUUGGCCUCACAGUUCUGAGGUCUCGGGUUCGACCCCAGACCCGCCUGUGUGGAGUUUGCAUGUUUUCCCCGUACCUGCGUGGGUUUUCUCCGGGCACUCCGGUUUCCUCCCACAUCCCAAAAACAUGCACCAUUAAUUGGACACGGUAAAUUACCCCUAGGUGUGAUUGUGAGUGUGGCUGUUUGUUUCAAUUUGCCCUGCGAUUGGCUGGCAGCCAGUUCAGUAUACGCAGCAAAGAAAAUAGAUGGAUAUAAACUAGAGCAAAAUGUUUUUAACCAAACAAUAAGUGUUUGUGUAAAAGUUCAUUUUCUUUUGACUGUUUACUGUUAUUGGUGAGCAACAAGUAAACAAUUUUGAAGUUUGGCAUUUCAAGCCGUUGUGUUUAUGUGAUCAUAUGUUUGAUUAACUAGAUAUUAACUUUAAUCUGGAACACUGGUUGCACAGUUGAAAGAUAAAAAUUUAUAUUCUGAUGAAAAAAUAGUCUUAUAUGUUAAUCCAUCAACUUGACCGAAGGAACUGUUUGGUCUAUUGAAUUUCACCUCAUAUACUGAUUGUCUUUGAUUCUCCUGAUGCCAUAAAUUGCAUUUGCUUGAGACAUUUACUUGAUGAUUUUAAGUAGACAUCGCAACAUAAAAAUGAUAGACAUGAUUUUAUUUCUCAUGCUUAUUGCUACAUAGGCUGUUUUUUGUUGUUGUUGUUAUUAUUAUUUUUUUUUUAACAAGAACUAACGUUUGUUUUAAGUGUCAGUCGUACAAAGCUAUUGGAGCUUAAGGCCUUUUUAAAGGCUAUUUCUAGUUGUGGUGGCGCUGAAGUUUAUUGCAAGCUAUGUUUAGUGUAGUAUUAUGCAAAUAGGCACCCAUUAAAAUGUUCUCUUUAAGAGACUUUGUUAGACACGCCAUGUUAACUCCCUCAACCAAAUUGAGUUAGGAUGUCCUGAAUAACAAAAAGUAAUUUUCACUUGUGAAAUCCCCAACCUCUUGUCAGAGGUCAUAAGUAAAUUGUUCAUAUCAUUAUAGCAAAACUCCCAU